rnacentral:rRNA from 1 species
CCUACGGGGGGCAGCAGUGGGGAAUAUUGGGCAAUGGGAGGAAUCCUGACCCAGCGACGCCGCGUGAACGAAGACGGCCUUCGGGUUGUAAAGUUCUUUUAUGUGGGAAGAAUUAAGUGACGGUACCACAUGAAUAAGCCCCGGCUAACUACGUGCCAGCAGCCGCGGUAAUACGUAGGGGGCGAGCGUUGUCCGGAAUUACUGGGCGUAAAGGGCACGCAGGCUGUGCUUCAAGUCAGCUGUAAAAGGAUGCGGCUUAACCGUGUUAUGCAGUUGAGACUGAGGUGCUGGAGUACCGGAGAGGCAAGUGGAAUUCCCAGUGUAGCGGUGAAAUGCGUAGAUAUUGGGAAGAACAUCGGUGGCGAAGGCGACUUGCUGGACGGUAACUGACGCUGAGGUGCGAAAGCCAGGGUAGCGAACGGGAUUAGAUACCCUUGUAGUC